rnacentral:lncRNA from 1 species
ACCAAUGGCCAUACUGUCAUUACACAUCGUAAGUUCGUAACGUUCAUAAAUCGUAAGUUACUUCAAAACAAACGGAGAUCGGAUAAUCUUUGAAGAUUUAACUGUCUACAGAUAAUGUCAGCUGAAGUUUUCGUUGGACCUGGCCAACUGGGGUCAAUAAAGUAGUCCAAUCCAAUAAUGCAAGCUAUGUCCUCUGAAGCUAAAUAAUUUCUGUUGCAAGGACACCAGCAAGAAAGUGCUGCAACUCAAGAUUUUCUGGUGACUGCCACUUAGUUCUAAUUUAGGACAAUGAUAGAUUUGAGGUUAAUCCCUCUCCACUGUUAUAGUUGUUCUGAAACCGAUGAGAGAUUCCUCGAAUUGAAGACUGAUAAUUUGUGUUGAUGUUGAUAAAUUCCAAGUACAUAAUCUGGGCUCCCUUCUUUUCUGUGGCCCCGUUUCCCUAACUAACCACUAACCAGUAACCAACGCCCGCCGGUGGUCACUCACUCGCUGUGUCAACCAGGAGGAGGGGAGGGCUCUGGUCGAACAGGGACUUGGAUCAUGGUGUUAUGAAAAUUUUUAAAGGGGCAUGAGUCUAACUUAGAACCCUACUUUGACUAAUAGCCCCCUCGCACUCUUCUCUCUUCUUUACUGGACAUGUAAUGUUCACGGUCGCAGUUAAUCAAGGCAUUGGUUGAUAGAAAUGCAGAAAAAUAUUGCUGUACUUACUGAUUUGGAAAUUAGUUUGAAUGUUACUUUUUAAAACUGGUCGUUUUACCAAUUAAAGGUUUUUU